rnacentral:rRNA from 1 species
CCCCUAGAUGUUCUGGGCCGCACGCGCGCUACACUGAACAGUUCAACAAGUCUUAACCUUGGCCGAUAGGUCUGGGUAAUCUUUGAACGCUGUUCGUGAUUGGGAUAGACCUUUGCAAUUAUGGGUCUUCAACGAGGAAUUCCUAGUAAACGCAAGUCAUCAGCUUGCAUUGAUUACGUCCCUGCCCUUUGUACACACCGCCCGUCGCACCUACCGAUUGAAUGGUCCGGUGAAAUCUCGGGACGGCGGCUUGGUCGCUUGCGUCCGACUCCUGAAACUUGAUUAAACCAUAUCAUUUAGAGGAAGGUGAAGUCGUAACA